rnacentral:rRNA from 1 species
GACGAACGCUGGCGGCGUGCUUAACACAUGCAAGUCGAACGGAAAGGCCCCCUUGUGGGGUACUCGAGUGGCGAACGGGUGAGUAACACGUGAGUAACCUACCCUUGACUUUGGGAUAACUUCAGGAAACUGGGGCUAAUACCGGAUAGGAGCUCCUGCUGCAUGGUGGGGGUUGGAAAGUUUCGGCGGUUGGGGAUGGACUCGCGGCUUAUCAGCUUGUUGGUGGGGUAGUGGCUCACCAAGGCUUUGACGGGUAGCCGGCCUGAGAGGGUGACCGGCCGAAGGGGGAGAGAGAGACGGGCGGGAGGGGGACGGGAGGCAGCGGGGGGGAAGGGUGUCCGAUGGGGCGAAGCCUGGUGCAGGAACGCGGCGAGAGGGAUGGGGGGCGUCGGGUUGGAAAGAAAUAACGCCGGUAACUGUACGGGAGUGAGGGUAAUGGAAAAAGAAGGACCGGCGAAGUACGUG